CGUACAUCAACAGGCAAGCUGAGUUGAGCAUCGAAAAUGGUUGCGUUUUGUGGGGCAGUAGAGUAAUCAUACCGCCACAGGGUCGUCACGCUAUGUUGUGUCAGCUGCAUGAGGGUCAUUUUGGUGUGGCCCGCAUGCAAAGUUUUGGCAGGAUGCACUUCUGGUGGCCGGGCUUUGACCAGGACGUAGAGAGGAUGGCUGCAGGAUGCCGUAGCUGCCAACGCUGGAGGAAUGCGGCGCCUCCAACGCCUCUGCAUCCAUGGGAGUGGCCCCGCUCUCCCUGGCAACGGCUCCAUGUCGACUAUUGCGGACCUGUCAACGGGGUGAUGCUUCUUGUCAUCAUCGAUGCUCACAGUAAGUGGAUGGAUGUGCACAUGACCAGAACAUCCUCGGCUGAGGUUACCAUUGAAAGUUGAGGGAAACAUUUGCAUGUCACGGAGUUCCGGAGACUGUGGUCACAGACAAUGCCAGAUACUUUGUGUGUCCGGAGUUUAAAACGUUUUGUAAGCGAAAUGGAGUCAGACAUGUCACCUCUCCACCGUACUCGCCUCAUUCAAACGGUCUUGUGAAGAGAGCUGUGCAGACGCUGAAGCAGGGCCUACAACGUCAGUCUACAGGUAGCCUGAGUACUCGUCUGUCGAGGUUUUUGUUCCGCUACCGCAGUAUGCCCCACAGCGUGACGCAGCAGUCUCCCGCUGAGAUGCUCCUCGGCCGGCCAAUGCGGACUCAGCUGGACCUGCUGCGUGAAGACGCCAGACGGAGCGUGAUGGAGGCGUACCAGAGGAAGCAGAAGGCUCAGUAUGACGUGAGAGCACAGCCUCGCAUAUUCCAGACGUGUCGGUGCCGAACCACGAGUACCGGCGGACGAUGGUGCCAGAUGAGCCUCCGGACUCCUCUGCUCUGGACAGCGCCGCUCACGCCGUCGCCGGAGAAUCCAGAGACGCGACUGUGGGCGGUGCGGAGGCGUCAGAGACCGGCGCCCUCCCCUCUGAGAAGUGCGCGGACGUCGGACGACAUCCCUCGACGUCGUCGCCGUCUCCGCCGUCGCGGUUCGAGGCUGCGACCGCUUCUGCGCCGGUGCCGCGUCGUUCAGCGCGGGAGAGGCGUUGCCCAGUGCGAUUCCGGGCGGGGCAGUCUAAUCCUGUGGGGGAGGAGUGUGGUGACUUGAUUAAAUCAAAUGCGUGUGACAUGGAUCCGGCGGUAUCCGGCCCGGGCGGGGCGGCCGACCG